rnacentral:rRNA from 1 species
GACGAACGCUGGCGGCGUGCUUAACACAUGCAAGUCGAACGGAAAGGCCCUGCUUUUGUGGGGUGCUCGAGUGGCGAACGGGUGAGUAACAUGUGAGUAACCUGCCCUUGACUUUGGGAUAACUUCAGGAAACUGGGGCUAAUACCGGAUAGGAGCUCCUGCUGCAUGGUGGGGGUUGGAAAGUUUCGACGGUUGGGGAUGGACUCGCGGCUUAUCAGCUUGUUGGUGGGGUAGUGGCUUACCAAGGCUUUGACGGGUAGCCGGCCUGAGAGGGUGACCGGCCACAUUGGGACUGAGAUACGGCCCAGACUCCUACGGGAGGCAGCAGUGGGGAAUAUUGCACAAUGGGCGGAAGCCUGAUGCAGCAACGCCGCGUGCGGGAUGACGGCCUUCGGGUUGUAAACCGCUUUCGCCUGUGACGAAGCGUGAGUGACGGUAAUGGGUAAAGAAGCACCGGCUAACUACGUG